rnacentral:rRNA from 1 species
AGCGGCGAGUGAGCGGCAAAAGCUCAAAUUUGAAAUCUGGCACUUUCAGUGUCCGAGUUGUAAUUUGAAGAAGGUAUCUUUGGGUCUGGCUCUUGUCUAUGUUUCUUGGAACAGAACGUCACAGAGGGUGAGAAUCCCGUGCGAUGAGAUGUCCCAGACCUAUGUAAAGUUCCUUCGAAGAGUCGAGUUGUUUGGGAAUGCAGCUCUAAGUGGGUGGUAAAUUCCAUCUAAAGCUAAAUAUUGGCGAGAGACCGAUAGCGAACAAGUACAGUGAUGGAAAGAUGAAAAGAACUUUGAAAAGAGAGUGAAAAAGUACGUGAAAUUGUUGAAAGGGAAGGGCUUGAGAUCAGACUUGGUAUUUUGUAUGUUACUCUCUCGGGGGUGGCCUCUACAGUUUACCGGGCCAGCAUCAGUUUGAGCGGUAGGAUAAGUGCAAAGAAAUGUGGCACUGCUUCGGUAGUGUGUUAUAGUCUUUGUCGAUACUGCCAGCUUAGACUGAGGACUGCGGCUUCGGCCUAGGAUGUUGGCAUAAUGAUCUUAAGUCGCCCGUCUUGAAACACGGACCUACAAA